rnacentral:rRNA from 1 species
AGCAGUCGCCGCGGUAAUACGAAGGGGGCUAGCGUUGUUCGGAAUUACUGGGCGUAAAGCGCACGUAGGCGGAUAUUUAAGUCAGGGGUGAAAUCCCGCAGCUCAACUGCGGAACUGCCUUUGAUACUGGGUAUCUUGAGUAUGGAAGAGGUUAGUGGAAUUGCGAGUGUAGAGGUGAAAUUCGUAGAUAUUCGCAGGAACACCAGUGGCGAAGGCGACUCUCUGGUCUGUAACUGACGCUGAGGAGCGAAAGCGUGGGGAGCGAACAGGAUUAGAUACCCCUGUAGUCCCUGUCUCUUAUAC